rnacentral:rRNA from 1 species
GACGAACCGAGCGAACGUUAUUCGGAAUAACUGGGCUUAAAGGGUGCGUAGGCGGGCUGUCAAGUCUGGGGUGAAAUCCGGCAGCUUAACUGUCGAACUGCCUUAGAUACUGAUGGCCUCGAGGAAGGUAGGGGCAUGCGGAACUGUAGGUGGAGCGGUGAAAUGCGUUGAUAUCUACAGGAACUCCGGUGGCGAAGGCGGCGACCUGGGUCGAGACUGACGCUGAUGCGCGAAAGCGUGGGGAGCAAACAGG